rnacentral:rRNA from 1 species
GACGAACGCUGGCGGCGUGCCUAAUACAUGCAAGUAGAACGCUGAAGAGAGGAGCUUGCUCUUCUUGGAUGAGUUGCGAACGGGUGAGUAACGCGUAGGUAACCUGCCUUGUAGCGGGGGAUAACUAUUGGAAACGAUAGCUAAUACCGCAUAACAAUGGGUGACUCAUGUCAUUUAUUUGAAAGGGGCAAAUGCUCCACUACAAGAUGGACCUGCGUUGUAUUAGCUAGUAGGUGAGGUAACGGCUCACCUAGGCGACGAUACAUAGCCGACCUGAGAGGGUGAUCGGCCACACUGGGACUGAGACACGGCCCAGACUCCUACGGGAGGCAGCAGUAGGGAAUCUUCGGCAAUGGGGGCAACCCUGACCGAGCAACGCCGCGUGAGUGAAGAAGGUUUUCGGAUCGUAAAGCUCUGUUGUAAGUCAAGAACGAGUGUGAGAGUGGAAAGUUCACACUGUGACGGUAGCUUACCAGAAAGGGACGGCUAACUACGUGCCAGCAGCCGCGGUAAUACGUAGGUCCCGAGCGUUGUCCGGAUUUAUUGGCCGUAAAGCGAGCGCAGGCGGUUUGAUAAGUCUGAAGUUAAAGGCUGUGGCUCAACCAUAGUUCGCUUUGGAAACUGUCAAACUUGAGUGCAGAAGGGGAGAGUGGAAUUCCAUGUGUAGCGGUGAAAUGCGUAGAUAUAUGGAGGAACACCGGUGGCGAAAGCGGCUCUCGGGUCUGUACUGACGCUGAGGCUCGAAAGCGUGGGGAGCAAACAGG